UGGCAUUACAGACGUUUCUUCUUUACCUCAGUCUUUGGCUGAAACACUAAAGCCCUGCAGUUUUUAAAAGAGCUUGAUCUGAGUAACAAUAAAAUAAGAGACUCAAAGAAGCAGAAGCUCAGUGAUGUGCUACGAGACUCAAACUGUAAACUGAGUCUGGAGAAAGAACAAUCGAUCGGGAGAACUGUUGUGAACUACUUAAGUGGAUUGUUAACUCGGUCUAAAGCUCCGGAGGAUCCUGUGAAAUCAACAGAACAAGACAAGUCAUCAUCAGAUGAGGAAUCCUCAGAAGGUGAAACAGGAGUAGAGGCUGCUGAGCGUG